ACGCUCGACACCUACGGGUGGCAGCAGUGGGGAAUAUUGCACAAUGGGGGAAACCCUGAUGCAGCGACGCCGCGUGGAGGAAGAAGGUCUUCGGAUUGUAAACUCCUGUUGUUGGGGAAAAAGAGGAUGGUACCCAACAAGGAAGUGACGGCUAACUACGUGUCAGCAGCCGCGGUAAUCUGAGCGGGCUGGCAAGGC
rnacentral:rRNA from 1 species